rnacentral:lncRNA from 1 species
CGAUGGGAAUGAGGGAUUGAAUUUAGAACGUGCAUUAACAGCGCAUAUCAUGCGUACCUCUUCAUCAGGGUCAAGAUUUAUAGCAAGGGUUCGACAACGCCAUAAACAAGCCGUUAUGAAUUCAAACGUGGUACAACGGCGAAGGUGGGGAGGUACGAGGCUACGAAGAAUUGAAACUUCUGCAAAGCCAAAGGAAAAGGAACGUUGAACCGGAUCGUCAAAUGGCAAGAUGGUAAUGGGGGUGGUGACAGGGGCGUCCACUUCAUCAUACUCGCGGUGGGUAAAUGUGAUUCCUGCCGGGUGUUGAGCAUCUAAGAGAUGUCUUUCCCAAACGGGUGAGAUCGAGUGAGUGGCUACGCCUCGUGCCAUUUCACCCAGGGCAAACAGGAAUUGUGCUAGGCCAAUUGCAUCACUCAUGACAUGGUUGAGACGGAGAGCGAAGAUGAAACCACCGCAUUUCAACCGUGUUACCUACUAAGCAAUAAACUAAUUCUUGUUAAUUAACUUCAUAAAAGAAAAUGUUAGGUUAUUAACUAAUAUGAAAAAGUAAAAGUAAUAAAUGGUGAAAGACGAAAAUCCAACUAAAUUUGUGUUGCCAGCCAUUGGAUAAAUAUAAAAAUUAUAUAUGAAUUAUGAUUUAAUUUGUAAUUGUAUGUAUGAAUUUUGAUUUUGUGUAAUAUUAUACAUGAAAUUUUUGUUCGAUCCCUUUCUUGUAAAUUAUGAACACAAUUAUUGAUAUAACAUCAUUUUAUAUUUAUAUAUUUCAUACAUAAGUAAUUAUAUUUAUCUAAUAUAAAAAUAAAUUGCUGUAUUUAUUUCUUUAAAUGUGUAUGAUUAAAUCAAAGUUAAAGCUUCAAGUAUACAUUUGAGCCAUAAUUAGAGUUUCAAGUGUAUAAUUAAACCAAAUUAAAAUUUAUAUAUAUAAUUAUAUAUUAAAUCAAAGUUUAUGUAUAAUUUUUAAAUUCAUACUGUCUCAUUUAUUUAAAAUUUCUUUUUCAUUUACUACAUCCUUAGAGAUCAUGUGUAGAGUUUUAAAAUUCCAAUAUAAAUUUAUCAAAUAAUUUUUGGUUAAAAAAUAGUUUCAAAUUUACCAAAUAUGUAAUUAAUAAAAUAUCUAUUGGCUUAAUUUUAUAAUAUUUAAUAAAAGAAUGAAUAAAUUAAAGUUGAAAUCUCACCAAUUACAAAUAAUUUCUUUUAAAAGAAAAAACAUAUAGCAAGUUAAAUAAAUUUUAUAUUGAUUUAAGAUUUUACUGACUAUUAAAUUUUUAUUUAAUCAAAUCGAUAUGACUUUUAUUCAUCACAUAUACAAGAUAUUUAAAUAUGAUCACUUGUUUAAAAAGAAUGCUUGAUUAUUCUUUUGGAUUUUAUUUUUGCAAUUAUAUAUACAUGGAUAUAUAUACAGGGUUGAUUGAGUUGGUAUCUUUUAUUAACUAUGAAAAAUGAGAAUUAUUUUUUAUAUUUUCAUAUAAAAUCUAGAUAAAUAUAUAGAUGAUGGGAUUGGAACCUAAAAUAUCACGACUUUUAAUAUUUUAAUUUUAUUAUUUCAAUAAAAACCUUAUUUGUCUUUUAUAUAAAUUUUCUAUAUAUUUUUGUAUAAAUAUAUUUAUUAGAUAAUUUUUUUACCUGCAUCAUGAGUGUGUUAGAAUGUAGUAUGUAUAUAUAUAUAUACACUAUUAUUUAAGCAUUUGAUUGAGUUGAUGUAACGAGUCGGUCGAGCACGGACUCAAUUAAGAAGAUUAUAAAAAUAUAUUUUCGUAUUUAAAAUAAAUUAUAAAAAUAUGCAUACGAAGAGACAUGAAUUCACACCAAAUACAUUAAUAAAACAUUCAAUUUACCACUAAACCGAAAUUUUAUUUUAAUUUUUAUACAUAUUUUACUGUACACACCUAAUUAUAUAGGUUAUUAAGUUUUUCUUUUCUUAUACAAGAUAUAUUAUGGCAAAUUAAAGAUAAUUUUUUGUUCCAUCUCUUUUGAUUUAGUCUCUCUCUCUCUUUUCUUUUGCUAUAUUGUUUGUCUCAAAUAUCUAAUUAAAAUUUAGAAAGAAUCAUAAACCCAGAAAAAUGCAACAAUAGAAAUAAGAAGAUUGUUGAAUUAAAAAAGAAAAACUCUCCCAUACAUAUUGUCAUAUAGCAUAAUUAAUUGGAACAUUAUUACCUGAAUCAACAGCAAUGGGCAAUUUAGCAUCCCUUCAGAACCAGGAACAAUAUAAAGGAGCUCAUCGGAGCAAGGGAAUGGUGGGCGAAGUGGUUCACCAAACUGUUCAAGUGUAACAUCAGCAUCGGCUUUUAUAAACAUCACACCCUCACCCGUGCAAUCCACUAUAAGCUUACCAUUGGCCCCUUCUCUUAAUCUACCUGCAAAUGGAUAAUAACACACUAGGGUUUGUGCAAGUGCCUCCCUAAUAACCUCAACUGGAUCUUUUCCUUCCAUGGAAGGUUCAUAUUGAUAAAAGUUGAUUACCCGAAUUUGAAACCGCAAACUCGCUUGAUCAUCAAUGUCCGAUAACAGUUUUUGUUCAUAUGGCGUAGGCUUAGCAGGAGUAACAAGUUCUGGUUCACAACGUCGGACAGUGAACUUAAGGGGAAUGCUGGAAGGUGCUGCCAUGACACAAGGAUGUGAGAUAAUAGAAAAAGAAUAGCAAGUGUUUGGUCUUAAUGAAGUGUUUGAAAUGUUUUAUAUAGGAACCAAAGUGUACAAAUUUGAAGUUUAUUUUCCAUCGCAUAUGUAAAUUUUAAUGGAGGAGAUAAAAUUGAACAAAAGAAUCCCAAUUUUAAUGUAAAUUUAUUUUAUGUAUUAUUAUCUUGUUGGAUUCAUGAUUCCAAUGAUAAAUUUAGUGAACCUCGGCCACAAUUUUAGUGGCUAUUCUGGAAGGGCUUUUUGGACUGUAUUCAGAGCCAUCCUUGUCGUAUUGAGAUGGCCAACGUUUUACAUAAUUAAAAUUGUUGACACCAUUUUUUGAUGGAAAAACGGGGUCGACUUGGGUUUUGAAAAAUUAAAAUGUUAAAUUAAUGUUUGCGAUAUUACCAAAAAUUCCAAGUUUACUAAAUAUUUGGUCUAACUAAGACACAACAUUUUUAAAUCAUUAUAAUAUAAUGGUAAAUUUGCAAUGGAAACCAGGUAAUAGAAAAUUGACUGGUAACAAAAAAUCGAGAAGAAAAACUUCUGGAAAAUUUAAAUGUUUUUUAGGUGUUAAGAAAGGUUAUAUAGUCAAAAAAUUUUAUAACAAAAGAAAAGAAGUUAAAAAAUGAUCAAAAGUCUUGAAAAACAAAAUUUAGAAAUAUGUUAUAAAGAGGAAACAAAUCCUAAAAAAAUAUUAUAUGAAUUAAUAUUCAAUCUAUUCUGGUCACAUUUGGGAUUUAUCAUGGGCUAGCGCAUAUACAAGACAGACUCACAUUUUAACAUGAUUACAUGAAAUUUUUUUUAAAACACCUUUCUGACACACACACACAUAUUUACAUGAAGUUGGAAUUGGCAUUUUUUAAGAAAAGAAAUCGAACUCAACAUUUUGGCCAGAAUAAUUAAGGGUAUCUGUAACACCCUAAUUUAUUAAACCCUAUUUUUAUGAAUAUUAAUAUAAGUAAGUAUUUGCUUUAGUGGUUAAGUACUAUGGGUGUGGAUUGGAGGUAUUGGGUUUAAGUCUCACUUUUGAAAAUUUUGUUUUUUUGUUCCUAGCUUUAUUUUUAAUUGCAGGACUUAUAUUAUAUUUUCAGUCAACUUAUGUUAGAAGGAGCUUGCUGGUUUAGUGGUAAAGUGUUAGUUUAUUUUAUGGUCUUGCAUUCGAAUCCCUGAGUGUGUGUUUGGUAAUAAUUUUCGCUUUGGUGCUGGUGUAGUUUGUGUAGUAGAAGUUGGAUGAGGUUUAGUGGGUCAGAUUCUGUGGGAUUCUAUUGGUAGUGGGCAAUUUCGAAUUUUAAUUAUUUUAUUAUAUUUUUUUGUUAGUUCCCAAAAAUUCUCUCUCUUUUUCACGUCCCUCUCUUUCUCCUUACCAUUCUUUUUCUAACAUCUUUCCUCAUUGUGAUUACAUCCCUUUUUGGCUUCCCUUCUUUGAUUCUUGUCCAUUGUGUUGCCGUUGUGGACAUUGUGCAUUCAGGUUCUUGAUCCGUUUUGAGUAGGUAAGUUAUUGGGUAGGUGUAGCUUUACUGUUUCAUGAUUGGUGAUUAUUGGGAAAUUUUCAUUAUUCUUAUAAUGAAAGGAUAUUUGUUGAUGGUGGUCGUUUAAUUAUUGUUUAGAAGAAAGUCAAGAAGCGAUUGGUGCUCCUCCAGCGAUUUAAGUAUUGGGUGAUUACUGUUCGUUGGCAGUGAGUAUAUUUGAGCGUUGUACUGAUUUGAAAGGCAAAGUUCAUGGUUAAUUUUUUGUUUGAAUUCGUAAAUCGUUUGCUAAAAUAAUUGUUGUGAUACUCGAAAAAUAGAAAUCGGUGAAAGCCGAAAUUGGGGCUUGUCAACGCCACACGGCCGUGCCUGGCUGUGUGACAGGCCGUGUGUGACACACGGGCAUGUGACAAGCCGUGUGCGACACACGGGCGUUUGAUAGGCCGUGUGCGACACACGGGCGUUUGAUAGGCCGUGUGCGAGGCCGUGUGUGACACACGGGCUAGGCCAUUUUGGGUCGUGUGGGCUACACGGGAGUGUGUGGGCUAUGUGCCAGGGCGUAUGGGCACAAAUUUUAGAAUUUUUCCCUACGGUUGUACAUGUUGUCUCGAUCGACUGGGGGUUUUCCGUAGGGUCUAUAUGUGUGGGCUAUCCAAAAUGACAUGAUUCUACUUGAUGCAUAAUUAAGAUAUCAUAUGAAUUAUUUAUAUGUUAAACUCACCUUGUUGAUGUUGUAUUUUGCCAUGACUAGCUAACUUUGUUAAAUUGUGGUAGCAUAUUGUAUUUGAUUGAAUGAUAUGGUAAGUUUUGUUUAAUGUCGAUAAACUUACUACACAUCGUAUAUGCUUACCUUAUUUGUUCUCCCUUCCCUUGUAGGUCAUCACCCUGCGGAACGCGUUAACAUGGAACAACUCGAAGCUCACACUAUCUUUAUUUCAGUAGCUAUUUUGAUUAUCUUGAGUCAAGGAAUUGUGUCAUGUAUAUAAGUGUUUAGUAUAUUCCUUUAAGUAUAAGAUGUUUUGAUGAUUUGAUAUCUUGGUUCAUAUAUGGAAAUGAAUACAUAUGCAUCCCAUGCUUAGUGAUGUAAUAGCUAAUAACCAUCUAAAUGGCAUAUGAAAAAGUAUUGAACUUGUUUUGUGGUGACUUGAAUGUUGGUCUUGGUAUGAAAAUCUGAAAUGUAUGAAAUGAAAAUAAUUGAUGUCUAGUUGAAUGAAUGCUUUGUAAUAGUUGAACUCAUUUUGAAUUGGCCUUGUUUUGAAUUGGUAAAUGACAUGUUUUGGCAGGAAAUGUUAUGUAUUUGGCAUGUUUUAAGUGAUCAAAUUGAAUGGUUAUUUGAUGGGUUUAGAUGGGAGCUUUGAAAUAGGUACCAAAUGGUUUAUUUUUACCAAAAAUUGAGUCCUUGUCUCGGCGAGCAACCUUCCUUAUCGUAAUGUUGAUAGAGAGUAAGUGACGUCACGACGUGACAUAUUGUAUUGGCAACAUCCUGACGUGGAAUGACAGCAUCAUGACUUGGGUUUUAAACUAUUAAAACUUUGUAAUUUGGUCCUAUUUCGAUCUUGGGUUAACAAAUGAGCUUUUGUAGUAUCGAUUAAGACCUAGUUUUGAUUGUUCGACCAUAAAUGAGUGUGUUUAUCAUUGAAUUGCAUGUUUAUAUGAAUGUUUUGUUGUAAAAUGAUUGUAUUUGCUCUAGCAAUGAAUAUAACAUCCUAUAGCUCGAACCCAACGAUUAGGUUGGGAGAAGGGUGUUAUAGACAUAAACUUGACAACGCAAAGCCCAUUGCCUCACCAAGAAAGAAACACGCGUUGCCUAAAUAUCUUGUAGCACCAAGUGGGCCCGCACAAUCCAUAAAAGACAUAUUGGAAGGGGUUCUUAACGACAUCCAUCAACCCAUCACAUUUGAGUUUUGGUAAACGCCUUGUCUAGUCCCUUCAAGUCAAACUCCAACAGUGCCCUAGGCUAACAUUAGGCGCCUUACCACAACAUCCAUGGAGUAAAGAACUCAAUGGUUAGGACCCAUGCCCAACAUCCCUAUAUGGUACCCCUUUUAACACCAAGGUAAGUAGGAAACCAACCAUAUAAUAUAUACUAUGCAUGAACUUAACUCUAAAGUUCUCUCAAACCACCAAUCCUAGUAGCUUUGCGAACCAUUCAUGAUGCGGAUGCUCCCACUCUAGCGGCUUUCCACACCACUCGAGGUGUGAAAUGCCAUUGCAUCAUUCGAUACUUUGUAUAACAUUCAAGAGUCUUUGGUGACUAGUGAAAUAUAUAAAGAAAAAGCUUAUUUUUACAUACGUGUUACAAUAGUUUGACCUAAAAUAAAGAGUAGUUAAUAUAAAUUUAAGCUUGAAAAUAGAAAGAUGAGUAAAAGCUUUUGUAAAAAAUAAAGCCUCUUUAAAAUAAGCAAAUAUUUUUCUUUCUCUUUACUAAAAACAAGUCAUAGGGAAGGCUGAAUAAUACUAAUUAAAUUAGUUUAUUGCUAACUUAUAUAUUAAAACAUGUGUAAAAAAAUAAUACUUCUACUAAACGUAGCAUAAGUGUUAUAACAAGUACAAUGUUUAGUUGAUUGCUUUUAUGAAGCUAAUGUACUUGACAUUCAUAGAAAGUGUGUAAUGAAUCAACAGAUUUAAUUUAUAUUUGAUAGAUAGAUAGUGAAUAAGUUGAGCACAUUCUAUGCUUUCGGUCUCUUGCAAAACGUUUUCGCUCUUCUUAAUGCUAUUUAUCUCUUUAGGGUAUUCCAUGUUUGGUCAAAUCUUUAACGAUAGACUUCCAUGAUUCUUUCAUUGCAGAAUUUCGUUUUUAUUUAUUUGUUACUAACAAAUUUUUUAAAGCUUUUUUUUUCAUUAAUUAAGAUAUAAAAUAUAUUUAUAUAUUAUUAAAAUAAAAAACUAAUUAAAAUUAAAUAAAAAUUGAAUUUGAAUAAUUAUUAUUUGUAAUUUCUGUGUAACGUAUCCUCCAUUAAUGCUUCUCGACUUGGAAGGUAAUUUUUAACUUCUAAAUCAAAUCAAAUUUAUUUCAUUAUUACUUGGGAGCAAAUUUCACAAAAAUCGAAUUGAAUUCAACUAAAUGCUGCAAUUGACUUAAAUUUGAUUUCCCUUUAUUUUCUCAUCCCUACUUGUCUUACCACUCACCCUUACACUAAUACAUACGCACUAUCAUAUCUUUCACAAAGCAGAAGAAAUUGAAUUUGAUUUACUCUUUUUACCCUCACUUGGCUGCUGCUUCAACAUGUUCUCCAAUUCCUUAGCAAACCUUUCCAUCGCUGGAGCUGGCAAACAAAUUGAUGCCACACGUCCAACUUCUCCUUUCUUAUUCUUGGUUGGCAUUAGAAAGCUUAUCACCCCAACCGCUAUCAUUGGCCCUCCAAACACAGCCUUACCCCAUCCGAAAUCUGUAUCUUCAAUUUCGACCUUUGUUAAAUCUGAUAUAAUGUACGUACCGAUAACAUUCGGGAAAUGGAUUCGUUUACCCCGAACCACCAUUAAAGCUGCCACGGAUUUCACAUAUUCCUCUGUCACACUUGCUUUUGCUUGUUUUAUUAAUUCCACUGCAUACCCUAAUGGUUUCUCACGGAGGCUUUUAACUGUUGUUAUUGCUGCCGGGAAGAUAAACACAUUCCCGUAAUAUCCCGAUGGGAAUGAGGGAUUGAAUUUAGAACGUGCAUUAACAAUGCAUAUCAUGCGUACCUCUUCAUCAGGGUCAAGAUUUAUAGCAAGGGUUCGACAACGCCAUAAACAAGCCGUUAUUAGCUCAAACGUGGUACAACGGCGAAGGUGGGGAGGUAGGAGGCUACGAAGAAGUGAAACUUCUGCAAAGCCAAAGGAAAAGGAACGUUGAACCGGAUUGUCAAAUGGCAAGAUGGUAAUGGGGGUGGUGACAGGGGCUUCCACUUCAUCAUACUCGCGGUGGGUAAAUGUGAUUC